rnacentral:rRNA from 1 species
UACGUAGGGUGCGAGCGUUAAUCGGAAUCAUUGGGCGUAAAGCGCACGUAGGCGGCGCGUUAAGUCGGGUGUGAAAGCCCUGGGCUCAACCCAGGAAGUGCAUUCGAAACUGGCGCGCUUGAAUAUGGAAGAGGGUCGCGGAAUUCCCGGUGUAGAGGUGAAAUUCGUAGAUAUCGGGAGGAACACCAGUGGCGAAGGCGGCGACCUGGGCCAAUAUUGACGCUGAGGUGCGAAAGCGUGGGGAGCAAACAGG